GGUUCUGUUGUGUAAUGGUUAGCACUCUGCACUUUGAAUCCAGUGUUCUGAGUUCAAAUCUCGGAAAGACCU